UACGUAGGUGGCGAGCGUUGUCCGGAAUUAUUGGGCGUAAAGAGCAUGUAGGCGGUUUUUUAAGUCUGGAGUGAAAAUGCGGGGCUCAACCCCGUAUGGCUUUGGAUACUGGAAGACUUGAGUGCAGGAGAGGAAAGGGGAAUUCCCAGUGUAGCGGUGAAAUGCGUAGAUAUUGGGAGGAACACCAGUGGCGAAGGCGCCUUUCUGGACUGUGUCUGACGCUGAGAUGCGAAAGCCAGGGUAGCGAACGGG
rnacentral:rRNA from 1 species